rnacentral:rRNA from 1 species
UCCCUUAGUAACGGCGAGUGAAGAGGGAAGAGCCCAGCACCGAAGCCUGCGGUAGAUUUGCUGUUAGGCAAUGUGGUGUGUGGGUCGGCUAGCGGGAUCGUCACUCCACUCGAAGUCCAGCAUUGAGUAUGGUUAUCAUUGGAUUUGGCCCAGAGAGGGUGAGAGGCCCGUACGAGUGGAGGUUCAGACAUGUGAGACGAUUCACCAGGUCGACCUCAGAGUCGGGUUGUUUGAGAUUGCAGCCCUAAGUGGGUGGUAGACUCCAUCCAAGGCUAAAUACUGGCACGAGUCCGAUAGCGAACAAGUACCGUGAGGGAAAGUUGAAAAGUACUCUGAAGAGAGAGUAAACAGUACGUGAAACCGCAUGCAGGUAAACGGGUGGCGUCAAGCUGCUAGCCCGGAGAAUUCAGCUCAUCAGAUUGUAGUGUGCGUGCCUGUGGCGCCGAGGGGCCAGAGUAAGAUGUGGUAGUCCACUUCUUCCAUAGGAGUGGGGCAUGGCUGCGACCUCGGUCGUGGCUAUUGUUACGCGUGCCCAGUUGUGUKUGGGAGCGUGCUGCCCGUCUGUUGGGCCGUCUGGUGAGUGCACUUUCUCCGUGGUGAACACCACGACCGGUGGUAUUGCCAGUCCACUGUGGCCGAGUCGUGUCUCUCUGAUGGCCUUGUUAUUCCGUCUGGGAUGAUGGCGGCUGUUUGGGAGACGCGAUCGCAGAUGGGAGGGAUGCACGGCGUAGCGGUGUGCGUCAGCCCUGUUGCGUGUUAUCGUGCAUUCACCGUCAACGGAGUGUCGGAGUGUAAACGUCUAAGUUGGGCUGUGAUCGCGCUCCUAUGCACUCCGGCGGGCCAUAGUGGUGAAAGUGACUGUGCAAGGCACCGUGGUUGACCGCCUCAGCUGGCUGGUUGGUCGGUCGGUCCUUCUGGGCUGGUUGGCUAAUUGGCUGGUGGAUGGGUAUCUAGCACGCACAUCACAGGUGCAAUAGGUGGGAGGCGCGCCUCUGCUUGUGUGCGUUGGGCUUGGCUAGCGUGUUGCUCGCACAAAGUGGGUCCGCUGGUGGCCUAGCGUAUAUGUGCGUUUAUAUACUACAAUAUAGACGUACAGUGCAGUGAGCAGGGUUGCGUGUCACCGGGUGCUGCAUUUGCCAUUGGGUACCGGGGGCGAGAUAGUCAGUGGUGCUGUGGUAGACGAGCUACCCGACCCGUCUUGAAACACGGACCAAGGAGUUUAACAUGUGUGCGAGUCAAAGGGUCCUACGAAACCCUAAGGCGCAGUGAAAGUGAAGAUGUCCGCGUCGCGUACCUGGGCACACACAUAAAGCGCAGUGCGUCGCGGCGAGGUGAGAUCCUGCUGUUUACCUACUCACCAUUGUCAGUGCAACCUGGCUAGCUAAUUAGGAGCAGUGGGCGCAUCACCGGCCCGUCCUAUUAUGUGAACAUUGGCAAUAACGUGUGUAGUGUGCGCGUGAGCGUGUAUUGCCGCGUUAGCUAAUG